rnacentral:rRNA from 1 species
GACGAACCGUGCGAACGUUAUUCGGAAUCACUGGGCUUAAAGCGCGUGUAGGCGGGACGGCACGUCGGUCGCUGAAAGCCCCCGGCUCAACCGGGGAAGUGGCGCCGAUACGACCGACCUGGAGGGACGUAGGGGGGCCUGGAACUUCCGGUGGAGCGGUGAAAUGUGUAGAGAUCGGGAGGAACACCGGUGGCGAAGGCGGGUCUCUGGGCAUCUCCUGACGCUGAGGCGCGAAGGCGUGGGGAGCAAACAGG